GCCGGCGUAGCUCAGUGGCAGAGCAGCUGAUUCGUAAUCAGCAGGUCGCGGGUUCAAAUCCCAUCGCCGGCU
rnacentral:tRNA from 1 species